CUAACAGGAUUCCCCUAGUAACUGCGAGUGAAGCGGGAAAAGCUCAAAUUUAAAAUCUGGCAGUCUUUGGCUGUCCGAGUUGUAAUCUAGAGAAGUAUUAUCCGCGCUGGACCGUGUACAAGUCUCCUGGAAUGGAGCGUCAUAGAGGGUGAGAAUCCCGUCUUUGACACGGACUGCCAGGGCUUUGUGAUAUGCUCUCAAAGAGUCGAGUUGUUUGGGAAUGCAGCUCAAAAUGGGUGGUAAAUUCCAUCUAAAGCUAAAUAUUGGCGAGAGACCGAUAGCGAACAAGUACCGUGAGGGAAAGAUGAAAAGAACUUUGGAAAGAGAGUUAAACAGUACGUGAAAUUGCUGAAAGGGAAACGCUUGAAGUCAGUCGCGUUGGCCAGGGAUCAACCUUGCUUUUUUGCUUGGCUUAUYUUCUGGUCAAUGGGUCAGCAUCAAUUUUGACUGGUGGAAAAAGUUCAAGGGAAUGUGGCAUCUUCKGAUGUGUUAUAGCCUUUGUUCAUAUGCMAUUGGUUGGGAUUGAGGAACUCAGCACGCCGAAAGGCCGGGUUUUUAACCACGUACGUGCUUAGGAUGCUGGCAUAAUGGCUUUAAUCGACCCGUCUUGAAACACGGACCAAGGAGUCUAACAUGCCUGCGAGUGUUUGGGUGAAAAACCCGAGCGCGUAAUGAAAGUGAAAGUUGAGAUCCCUGUCGURGGGAGCAUUGACGCCCGGAUCUGACCUUUUGUGACGAUUCUGCGGUAGAGCAUGUAUGUUGGGACCCGAAAGAUGGUGAACUAUGCCUGAAUAGGGUGAAGCCAGAGGAAACUCUGGUGGAGGCUCGUAGCGAUUCUGACGUGCAAAUCGAUCGUCAAAUUUGGGUAUAGGGGCGAAA
rnacentral:rRNA from 1 species